GACGAACCGUGCGAACGUUGUUCGGAAUCACUGGGCGUAAAGGGCUCGUAGGCGGCCAACUAAGUCGGAUGUGAAAUCCCCAGGCUUAACCUGGGAACUGCAUCCGAUACUGGAUGGCUUGAAUCCGGGAGAGGGAUGCGGAAUUCCAGGUGUAGCGGUGAAAUGCGUAGAUAUCUGGAGGAACACCGGUGGCGAAGGCGGCAUCCUGGACCGGCAUUGACGCUGAGGAGCGAAAGCCAGGGGAGCAAACGGG
rnacentral:rRNA from 1 species